rnacentral:rRNA from 1 species
UGCCAGCCUCCGCGGUAAUACAGAGGGUGCUAGCGUUGUUCGGAAUUACUGGGCGUAAAGCGCGCGUAGGCGGCUAAGCAAGUUAGAGGUGAAAGCCCCGGGCUCAACCUGGGAAUUGCCUUUAAUACUGUUUGGCUUGAGUUCGGAAGAGGGAAGUGGAAUUUCCAGUGUAGAGGUGAAAUUCGUAGAUAUUGGAAAGAACACCAGUGGCGAAGGCGGCUUCCUGGUCCGAUACUGACGCUGAGGUGCGAAAGCGUGGGGAGCAAACAGGAUUAGAUA